GGGGAUAUAGCUCAGUGGUGGAACACUUGUCUCCCAUGUGUGAGGCCCUGGGUUCAAUCCCCAGUACCACCA
rnacentral:tRNA from 1 species